UUCUCGCACUACACUGCUCUCAGUCUCCAUCCUCCGGGCAUCUCUGUAUGAGAGCAGGAACAAGAAGACAGAAUGUUGCCUUGCUCCACCUCCACUGGGCACAUCCACGUUAGAGGUGACUCAAUGUUUUUGCUACCAACUACAAAAGCACCCCUACAUACUAAAGACCCCAAAUCUUUGUCCAUGGUACAGACAUCUUCCCUCAGUUCCAGAAACAUGUUCAUCCGCCUGUUGGUAUCGACAGCUGAAUGUUCUACAGGUAUCU
rnacentral:lncRNA from 10 species